rnacentral:rRNA from 1 species
UACGUAGGGGGCAAGCGUUGUCCGGAUUUAUUGGGCGUAAAGAGCGUGUAGGCGGCUUUACAGGUCCGUUGUGAAAACUCGAGGCUCAACCUCGAGACGCCGGUGGAAACCGUAAGGCUAGAGUCCGGAAGAGGAGAGUGGAAUUCCCGGUGUAGCGGUGAAAUGCGCAGAUAUCGGGAAGAACACCCGUGGCUAAGGCGGCUCUCUAGUACGGUACUGACGCUGAGACGCGAAAGCGUGGGGAGCGAACAGG